GACGAACGCUGGCGGCGUGCUUAACACAUGCAAGUCGAACGGAAAGGCCCCUUUGGGGGUACUCGAGUGGCGAACGGGUGAGUAACACGUGAGUAACCUGCCCUUGACUUCGGGAUAACUUCAGGAAACUGGGGCUAAUACCGGAUAGGAAUCCUUGCUGCAUGGUGGGGGUUGGAAAGCUUCGGCGGUUUUGGAUGGACUCGCGGCUUACCAGCUUGUUGGUGGGGUAGUGGCUUACCAAGGCUUUGACGGGUAGCCGGCCUGAGAGGGCGACCGGCCACAUUGGGACUGAGAUACGGCCCAGACUCCUACGGGAGGCAGCAGUGGGGAAUAUUGCACAAUGGGCGGAAGCCUGAUGCAGCAACGCCGCGUGCGGGAUGACGGCCUUCGGGUUGGAAACCGCUUUCAGCAGGGGCGAAGCUUGUGGUGACGGUACCUGCAGAAGAAGCACCGGCUAACUACGUG
rnacentral:rRNA from 1 species